rnacentral:rRNA from 1 species
AUGUUGCGCAGGGGCAUGCCUGUAUUCAACGGCAGUCUGCUAUCAUGCAUGGUGGACCGUUGGAGGCCUGAAACCCAUACUUUCCACUUGUCAUGCGGUGAGAUGACAAUCACAAUGCAGGAUGUGAACCUCAUAACUAGACUACCGGUCAAAGGGAAAUCGGUGACCGGAAUCACCGAUCCAGCCCUGUGGAAGGCACUGGUUGAGCGGAACCUUGGUGUGAAGCAUGACUCCUUUCCCCCGGGUUGGAAGAAGAAGUUGGCGAGGACAAAAGUAACACUAUCCGGCAACCUAGAGUCCAUUAAAGAAGGGAUGUCGAAGGAGUUGAAUAAUAAAAGGAAGCGGUUCAAGACCGGCAUCUCCUUCCUAUGGCUGGAAGCAAACUUCAGGAAAGGCUCACCUGCAGAUGCUUCUCGCGAGGUCGUCCAAAGGUUCGCAAGGGCGUACGCGCUAUACGUCCUCGGGGGCAUGGUAUUCACGGACGGUACUGGAGACCACGUCUCCUGGAUCUGGCUGCAGCUUCUGAGUGAUUGGGAGCAAGCUGGGCAGUUCAGCUGGGAAUCCGCCACCCUUGCCUGGCUGUAUCGUCAGCUAUGUGAGGCAUGCCGCCAUUCAAAGGACAAGUCGAACAUCGGAGGAUGUAUUAUCCUGUUGCAAGUGUGGACGUGGGCUCAUCUUCCCGUCUGCAGCAGACCUGUGCCCGCAAAAGAACAUGAUCUGUCUUUGUACGCGCAGUACCAUGUCGGACCGACAUACUUAGAAGUAUUUCUACGUGGAAAGAAUCUCAUCGGCAACGCGCAGCUAUCUUACCAGGUGAACAUCAGGCAUCUGAACGUGCUAACUCACACACAGGUGGACUAG